UGAGUAUCGCGUUUGCAACCUACCUUUAACUGGAGAAUAGCCCGAAGAAAUUCGGAUUAAUGCUCCAUAAUAUCAAGAGAAUGCAUAUUCUUUUGAUUAAAGCUCCGGCGGUUAAAGAUGGGCAUGCGUGCCAUUAGCUUGUUGGUGAGGUAACGGCUCACCAAGGCAACGAUGGCUAGGGGUUCUGAGAGGAUGAUCCCCCACACUGGUACUGAGACACGGACCAGACUCCUACGGGAGGCAGCAGUGAGGAAUAUUGGUCAAUGGGCGAAAGCCUGAACCAGCCAUGCCGCGUGCAGGAUGACGGCGCUAUGCGUUGUAAACUGCUUUUCUGCUCCAAGAACCCCCCGAUCGUGAUCGGGGUUGACGGUAGAGCAGGAAUAAGCAUCGGCUAACUCCGUGCCAGCAGCCGCGGUAAUACGGAGGAUGCAAGCGUUAUCCGGAUUUAUUGGGUUUAAAGGGUGCGUAGGCGGGAUAAUAAGUCAGUGGUGAAAUCCUGCGGCUUAACCGUAGAAUUGUCAUUGAUACUGUUAUUCUUGAGUUCAGUUGAGGUGGGCGGAAUGUAUAAUGUAGCGGUGAAAUGCUUAGAUAUUAUACAGAACACCGAUUGCGAAGGCAGCUCACUAAGCUGAUACUGACGCUGAGGCACGAAAGCGUGGGGAGCGAACAGGAUUAGAUACCCUGGUAGUCCACGCUGUAAACGAUGAUCACUCGCUGUUGGCAAUACAUCGUCAGCGGCUGAGCGAAAGCAUUAAGUGAUCCACCUGGGGAGUACGUCGGCAACGAUGAAACUCAAAGGAAUUGACGGGGGCCCGCACAAGCGGUGGAACAUGUGGUUUAAUUCGAUGAUACGCGAGGAACCUUACCUGGGCUUAAAUGCAGAACGACGGUUCCCGAAAGGGAUCCUUCUUCGGACGGACUGCAAGGUGCUGCAUGGUUGUCGUCAGCUCGUGCCGUGAGGUGUCGGGUUAAGUCCCAUA
rnacentral:rRNA from 1 species